AGCGAACGCUGGCGGCAGGCUUAACACAUGCAAGUCGAGCGCCCCGCAAGGGGAGCGGCAGACGGGAGAGUAACACGUGGGAACAUACCUUUUGGUUCGGAACAACUGAGGGAAACUUCAGCUAAUACCGGAUAAGCCCUUACGGGGAAAGAUUUAUCGCCGAAAGAUUGGCCCGCGUCUGAUUAGCUAGUUGGUGAGGUAACGGCUCACCAAGGCGACGAUCAGUAGCUGGUCUGAGAGGAUGAUCAGCCUCACUGGGACUGAGACACGGCCCAGACUCCUACGGGAGGCAGCAGUGGGGAAUAUUGGACAAUGGGGGCAACCCUGAUCCAGCCAUGCCGCGUGAGUGAUGUAGGCCUUAGGGUUGUAAAGCUCUUUUGCCCGGGAAGAUAAUGACGGUACCGGGAGAAUAAGCCCCGGCUAACUUCGUG
rnacentral:rRNA from 1 species